rnacentral:antisense_RNA from 1 species
CUUCACCGAUCCCAGCCACACCGGCCGGUCACGGUCCUGCCCGUAGGUCGCCAGCAGUGCCUGUGCUUC